rnacentral:rRNA from 1 species
UAGGGAAUAUUGCACAAUGGGGGAAACCCUGAUGCAGCGACGCCGCGUGAGUGAUGAAGGCCUUCGGGUCGUAAAGCUCUGUUGAACGGGAAGAAAAAAAUGACGGUACCGUUUAAGAAAGGAUCGGCUAACUUCGUGCCAGCAGCCGCGGUAAUACGAGGGAUCCUAGCGUUGUUCGGAAUCAUUGGGCGUAAAGAGUAUGUAGGCGGCCUAGUAAGUCAGUUGUGAAAGCCCCGGGCUCAACCCGGGAAGUGCAAUUGAUACUGCUUGGCUUGAAUGUGGAAGAGGGCAGUAGAAUUCCAGGUGUAGUGGUGAAAUACGUAGAUAUCUGGAGGAAUACCGGUGGCGAAGGCGGCUGCCUGGUCCUACAUUGACGCUGAGAUACGAAAGCGUGGGGAGCAAACAGG